rnacentral:tRNA from 1 species
GGGCGAUUAGCGCAGUGGGAGCGCGCCUCGUUCACACCGAGGAGGUCACUGGUUCAAAUCCAGUAUCGCCCACCA